rnacentral:rRNA from 1 species
UACAGAGGGGGCAAGCGUUAUUCGGAAUUAUUGGGCGUAAAGGGCGCGUAGGCGGCCUGGCAAGUGGAAGGUGAAAUCCCGCGGCUCAACCGUGGAACUGCCUUAGAUACUGACGGCCUCGAGGAAGGUAGGGGCAUGCGGAACUGUAGGUGGAGCGGUGAAAUGCGUUGAUAUCUACAGGAACUCCGGUGGCGAAAGCGGCGUGCUGGACCUUUUCUGACGCUGAGGCGCGAAAGCUAGGGGAGCAAACGGG